rnacentral:tRNA from 1 species
CAAGGGUGCUGAAGUGGGUUGCCAUUUCUUUUUACAGGGGAUCUUCCCAACCCAGGGAUCAAACCCGGGUCUCCUGCAUUGCUGGCAGAAGCUUUACCAUCUGAGCCACCAGGGAAGCCAUUCAUGCAUUAAGGCCAAGACAGGAAGCUGAACUGUCUUUUCAAAUACCCCGGAGCUUUGUGAACUCACAAACCUUUCAUUGUGGAGGCCUGUGACUUCAUGCUUCACACUCACGCUCAGGAGCCAC